ensembl:misc_RNA Metazoa_SRP Metazoan signal recognition particle RNA
GCUGGGUGUGGUGGCGCACGCCUGUAAUCCCAGUUACUCCGGAGGCUGAGGUAGGGGAAUCGCUUGAACCCAGGAGGCAGAAGUUGCAGUGAGCUGAGAUUGAGCCACUGCACUCUAGCCUGGGCUACAGAGCGAGACUCCACCUCAA